rnacentral:misc_RNA from 1 species
AAAGUGCGAUAAGUAAUGUGAAUUGCAGAAUUCAGUGAAUCAUCGAAUCUUUGAACGCACAUUGCGCCCGCCAGUAUUCUGGCGGGCAUGCCUGUUCGAGCGUCAUUACAACCCUCAGGCCCCCGGGCCUGGCGUUGGGGAUCGGCGGAAGCCCCCUGCGGGCACAACGCCGUCCCCCAAAUACAGUGGCGGUCCCGCCGCAGCUUCCAUUGCGUAGUAGCUAACACCUCGCAACUGGAGAGCGGCGCGGCAACGCCGUAAAACACCCAACUUCUGAAUGUUGACCUCGAAUCAGGUAGGAAUACCCGCUGAACUUAAGC